UUUGUGGAGCGCUGCAGAGGGUGCGCGCGGGCCGCGGCUGCCGAACAAAGGAGCAGGGGCGCCGCCGCGGGGACCCGCCACCCAACUCCCGGGGCCGCGCCGCGGCCUCCCGUCCACCGCCACCAUGACCGCCAACGGCACAGCCGAGGCGGUGCAGAUCCAGUUCGGCCUCAUCAACUGCGGCAACAAGUACCUGACGGCCGAGGCGUUCGGGUUCAAGGUGAACGCGUCUGCCAGCAGCCUGAAGAAGAAGCAGAUCUGGACGCUGGAGCAGCCCCCCGACGAGGCGGGCAGCGCGGCCGUGUGCCUGCGCAGCCACCUGGGCCGCUACCUGGCGGCGGACAAGGACGGCAACGUGACCUGCGAGCGCGAGGUACCCGGUCCCGACUGCCGCUUCCUCAUCGUGGCGCACGACGACGGCCGCUGGUCGCUGCAGUCCGAGGCGCACCGGCGCUACUUCGGCGGCACCGAGGACCGCCUGUCGUGCUUCGCGCAGACGGUGUCCCCCGCCGAGAAGUGGAGCGUGCACAUCGCUAUGCACCCGCAGGUUAACAUCUACAGCGUCACCCGUAAGCGCUACGCGCACCUGAGCGCGCGGCCGGCGGACGAGAUCGCCGUGGACCGCGACGUGCCCUGGGGCGUCGACUCGCUCAUCACCCUCGCCUUCCAGGACCAGCGCUACAGCGUGCAGACCGCCGACCACCGCUUCCUGCGCCACGACGGGCGCUUGGUGGCGCGCCCCGAGCCGGCUACUGGCUACACGCUGGAGUUCCGCUCCGGCAAAGUGGCCUUCCGCGACUGCGAGGGCCGUUACCUGGCGCCGUCGGGGCCCAGCGGCACGCUCAAGGCGGGCAAGGCCACCAAGGUGGGCAAGGACGAGCUCUUUGCCCUGGAGCAGAGCUGCGCCCAGGUGGUGCUGCAGGCGGCCAACGAGAGGAACGUGUCCACGCGCCAGGGUGAGUGGGGACGCUGCCCCCGCCUCUCCCGGUCCGUGCACAAAGCGCACCCCACCCGCGCCCCUCCAACCUCCCGCCCUUUCUCGCCCGCGGCGCCGCUGCGGUCCGGAGCACUGCCCAGUGCGCCCCCGCUAGGCACGCGGGCUACCCCGCCCGGAAGGGGCGAGGGGCCUGAGGCUCGGGGGUCCGAGGCAAGGGUCGCCACUCGCAAGGGCGCGCCUCCACCCCCACCGGCAACCUUUCGCGGGCGAGAUGGGGGAGAGAAGCCCCCUGCGCCGCCCCCGGGCCCAGAGCUCAGGUCCACAGGUUCCCCAGGAGGCGGUCUCUCUCCUCGCGCCGCGGCCCGGGAACGGCGUGGCGCGGAUGGCGGCCCUCCCGGCACCCCGCCCUUCGCCCGCCGCGCGCGUCUCCGGGCCGGUGCGCUGAGCUCCGCUCUGCUGGUGACCGAGGGCGGCUUCAGCGCGAGCCAGGAGACCCCAGGCCAGCUCGCUCGGGAUGCCCCUACCCUCGUGUGA